GACGAACGCUGGCGGCGUGCCUAAUACAUGCAAGUUGAGCGCUGAAGGAUGGUACUUGUACCAACUGGAUGAGCAGCGAACGGGUGAGUAACGCGUGGGGAAUCUGCCUUUGAGCGGGGGACAACAUUUGGAAACGAAUGCUAAUACCGCAUAAAAACUUUAAACACAAGUUUUAAGUUUGAAAGAUGCAAUUGCAUCACUCAAAGAUGAUCCCGCGUUGUAUUAGCUAGUUGGUGAGGUAAAGGCUCACCAAGGCGAUGAUACAUAGCCGACCUGAGAGGGUGAUCGGCCACAUUGGGACUGAGACACGGCCCAAACUCCUACGGGAGGCAGCAGUAGGGAAUCUUCGGCAAUGGACGAAAGGCUGAACGAGCAACGCCGCGUGAGGGAAGAAGGUUUUCGGAUCGGAAAACUCUGUUGGUAGAGAAGAACGUUGGUGAGGGUGGAAAGCUCAUCAAGUGACGGUAACUACACAGAAAGGGACGGCUAACUACGUG
rnacentral:rRNA from 1 species